rnacentral:lncRNA from 1 species
CGUGUCUGCCUGGCCCUAGCAUGGCUUCCCUGUGGCAGGAGCUUGCUUCCAGCCCUUUUGAUUUGGGGUUUGACCAUGUGACCGACUGUGACUUUGGAAUGCAGGUGGGAGGGAGAGCGGGAAACCUGUGAACAGAGUCUUCAAGGCACAUGACAUUUCUCAACUUGCUUUCUUGAGUUGCUAAGUCUCCCAAGGAAAAAGGGAUGUCCUAGGUAGCUAUGGCUCAUUCUACAGGGAUCUCAGAGUGAGAGCACGUGGAGCAAACCUGAAACUGACAGCAAGCCUAGAGCUCGGCCCAGAGCAGCCGGCUGAUCCAUGCACCACAAGUUUGGCCUCUUGGCCUUCCCUGACCUUGACUUCUGGACCAAGCCUUCCCAGGAGAUGAGACGCCCUUCUGUGAAGUUAAGUAGAAGUCACCAGGUAGAUGAAGGGAGAGGGAGUCCAACAACACCAGCACUGGCAACACAGAUGUGUGAAAACAGGAAAUGGAGCCAUAUGCAUCGGGAACUCGGUGAGCCCCUGACGGCUGAGCAGCAAGAGGCUUGAAUAAGAGCCAUCCAAGGCGCCAUCCAAGGCGCUAAGGAGCCAGAAGGACCGGAAGAAUCUUUGAUGCAAACUAGGAAACCUCUGAAAAUGAAUGAUAGUGUGCUAAAUGUUUCUCCUGGGACAACAGGCCUCAGCGGACACAAAUGGUCACCUCGAGUGAACAGCAUCCCUCUGGUAAGAUUAGCCAGGUGAGUGCUUCCCUGCUGCUGUGUCCUGCUUCCUACAACUAUGUGCUUCUUGCCACUCUGCCUCCAGGGACUGGGUUAGUCCUACUGCCCCCCUUGGCUCACUUUUUAUCAAGAGCACACUAGCAAACUACUCUUCGUCAGGCAUCUACUUUUCAACUGUCUGUGUGGUAGAUCGUUACAAAUACUCUCCUUUACCCAUGCCCUUGGUAAGUGCCCUCCCACUGGCUCUGGGCAUGGCCAUGUGACUUGCUUUGGCCAAUGGGACACUGUAGCAAGCAUACUGCAGACAGAUGAUUAAAAAACGCUGGGCACAUUAGGGCACAAUCUCUUGUCGCUUUUUCGAACUUUGUGAUUGUGAUGCAAAUAACCCCAAGGUCCCCUGCUGGAUGAUGAGAGUCCACACGGAAUAGCAAAGGCCAGGGAGGGCCAUCCUAGAACAGGCAAACCCCAGACAGUUUAGCUGUUGAAUACAGACACAUGAGCAAGUCCAUUUAAGAGCAGAAUAUUGAAGCCUGUCCUGAGUUGCUCAUCUACAGAACCAGAGGCUAAAUAUACGGUUCUUGUUUUAGGCCAAUAAAUUGGGAGUCACAUAACA